AUGAACGCUGGCGGCGUGCCUAAUACAUGCAAGUCGCGCGAACGGACGAGAAGCUUGCUUCUCUGAUGUUAGCGGCGGACGGGUGAGUAACACGUGGAUAACCUACCUAUAAGACUGGGAUAACUUCGGGAAACCGGAGCUAAUACCGGAUAAUAUUUUGAACCGCAUGGUUCAAAAGUGAAAGACGGUCUUGCUGUCACUUAUAGAUGGAUCCGCGCUGCAUUAGCUAGUUGGUAAGGUAACGGCUUACCAAGGCAACGAUGCAUAGCCGACCUGAGAGGGUGAUCGGCCACACUGGAACUGAGACACGGUCCAGACUCCUACGGGAGGCAGCAGUAGGGAAUCUUCCGCAAUGGGCGAAAGCCUGACGGAGCAACGCCGCGUGAGUGAUGAAGGUCUUCGGAUCGUAAAACUCUGUUAUUAGGGAAGAACAUAUGUGUAAGUAACUGUGCGCAUCUUGACGGUACCUAAUCAGAAAGCCACGGCUAACUACGUG
rnacentral:rRNA from 1 species